rnacentral:tRNA from 2 species
GGGCCUGUAGCUCAAUUGGUUAGAGCCGGCGGCUCAUAACCGCUUGGUUGGGGGUUCGAAUCCCUCCGGGCCCACCA